rnacentral:rRNA from 1 species
CGAUAGCUAAGACCGGAUAACUGGUUUUCUCGCAUGAGAGAAUUAUGAAACACGGAGCAAUCUGUGGCUGAUAGAUGGGCCUGCGGCGCAUUAGCUAGUUGGUGGGGUAACGGCUCACCAAGGCGACGAUGCGUAGCCGACCUGAGAGGGUGAACGGCCACACUGGGACUGAGACACGGCCCAGACUCCUACGGGAGGCAGCAGUAGGGAAUCUUCCGCAAUGGACGCAAGUCUGACGGAGCAACGCCGCGUGAGUGAUGAAGGUUUUCGGAUCGUAAAGCUCUGUUGCCCUAGACGAACAGCAUGAGGAGUAACUGCCUUGUGUGUGACGGUAUAGGAGAAGAAAGCCCCGGCUAACUACGUGCCAGCAGCCGCGGUAAUACGUAGGGGGCAAGCGUUGUCCGGAAUUAUUGGGCGUAAAGCGCGCGCAGGCGGUUGAUUAAGUUGGGUGUUUAAGCCCGGGGCUCAACCCCGGUUCGCAUCCAAAACUGGUUGACUUGAGUGUAGGAGAGGAAAGUGGAAUUCCACGUGUAGCGGUGAAAUGCG